rnacentral:rRNA from 1 species
GGGGGGGGGGGGGGGGGGGGCGGGGGGGUGGGGGGGGGGGGGACAGGCGGGGAGCUUGCGGGUGGGGCGUUAGGUUCGGACGUGUGGGUACGGCGUGGCUAGCCUCCCUAGAAGGCUGUGGUGAAUUGUGGAAACCGGGGCUGAAACCGGCUCCUAUAUUUACACUCAGGGUUCCCUCUUGAGAGGCGGUUGUGCUGUGACUUGUAUCUGGAUCCGCGACUCAUGAUCUAGUUGGUAAGGUAACGGCGUACCAAGGCCACGAUGCGGAUCCUACCUGAGAGGGUGAUCGGCCACACUGGAACGGAGACACGGUCCAGACUCCUACGGGAGGCAGCAGUAGGGAAGCUUCCGCAAUGGGCGAAAGCCUGACGGAGCAACGCCGCGUGAGUGAUGAAGGUCUUCGGAUCGUAAACCUCUGUUAUUAGGGAAGAACAAAUGUGUAAGUAACUAUGCACGUCUUGACGGUACCUAAUCAGAAAGCCACGGCUAACUACGUG